UUCAAUCUCGAACUGGAGUCGAAUAAAUUUUACAUAUGAUAGAUGAUGGGGUUUGACGAGUUAUCCAUGACCUCCAUCCUAUCGGGAUCCACGAUAGAGGGACUAUAUCAUACGCUAACUGUACCUAGAGGUUCAUCUAUUCCAUUCUGCUGGGUUGCCACUACAUGCUGCUAGGUGUCACUGGUGGAUUGUGAGACUCAGAGGCAUUCACUUGAUGAUCAGUGAAUCCGAAUGAGAAGAGUUGAAAUUGUUCCAACCCAUUGAAA
rnacentral:lncRNA from 1 species